CAGUUAUUCCAUGUGAAUUAGCCAUAACCCUUUUUUCUUUUUUUUCUCAAAAGAAGGGUCGCAUCUUUUUAUUCGGUGCUUAAAAUGUCACAUCUUGUACCAAAACAAUGUUGUAUGUGUGAUAGCUUUAGUUUUGCUUAAAUACAUGUCUAAAGAACAGAGAAUGCAUCAAUUGAAAUCUAAUUAAGAUUGAUUGUGGAGAUAUAAAUGGAAGAUCGAUCGCCAUAGAACAUCAUCUAAUAUAUAUCGUGAACAAUGCUCCUCAACUGUGAAACAAUAAGUACAGUACAUAUAUUUUGUUGUAAAUUAUUAAUUACCACCGAUCGAGAACCUGAUCUUGAAGCACAACUCAUUAUAUAUAUGAUUGUCAAAAGAGUAGUUUCUUGAAGAAUUAUUUCACAUCAUUAAUUAUUAUAGAGUACUGUUGUGCUGGGAGAUCGUACCUUGGUAUGAUGCCCUGGCUAGCUUUCCACAUCUCUUAAGCUUUCAGCCUUCAUAUAUAAAGGAGGUGAUCAUUGCAAACCAUUAGUUCUUUUCUUUUUGUAACGUGGUUGUUUGGUUUCCUAGCUAGACAUCUCCUUGGCGGCUUUCUCAUGCAGAACGUUUGGAAUUAAUUUUCUUGAUAAGAUCAUUUCACACAUCCAACAAAAAAGGAGGUGAUGGCAAGAAGAAUAGGUUAUGUUCGCUACAGAGAAAACACUUCCAAGGACACGUGAGAAGCCAUUUACUUGAGAAACCAGGCUAUGUACGAAAAAUGGUAAAAACAGCCUUGUUCUAUACCUAAUGGCCAAAUCAAUCAGCCUGAACGCCAUCCCACCAUAGAAAUUUGGACGAUUGUCCAUAGCUGGGUCAGCACUUCUGAGAUUCCUUGUUGUUUUUGGAAACGAAAGCUUGCUUCAGCUUUUAUCUCGAAUGCUCCAUGAACAACAAUAUUCCAUGAUCCAUGCAAGGAGGAAGAUGAUCAAAGCUUCUUGGAUGCAGUCCAUGGGAGAGAUCUUGACCAUAAAAGCAAGAAACAGAUCGCCCCAAAAAAUCCUGAGUUGCCAUGUUCUCCCACGGCUUUCUUGAGCUUCCAUGGUGCUAGCUAGCUAAACAAGAAUAACUAUACAGAUAUAUAGUGAU